rnacentral:pre_miRNA from 1 species
GAGUUUUUGAUGUCGCAGAUACUGCAUCAGGAACUGAUUGGAUAAUAAUCAGCCACCAUCAGUUCCUAAUGCAUUGCCUUCAGCAUCUAAACA